UUAAAUGGUUUAUUUUGAAAAAAAAAUAAUAAUAAUAAUCCGUAUAACCCCUGAACAGAACCGAAGGCCUGAAGUUGAGAUUUCGCUUGGCUCUCAGCUCGCUGUUGGCCGCCACUUCCCUACAAGUAAUCUGCCGUCUCCUACAACUUCCAGCAACAAUUUUUUGUAACAAGAUCACAUUCCUAGAGACGUGGUAAUAAGAUGGCUCGCAAUGAGGAGAAAGCACAGUCUAUGCUGAACAGAUACGUUGCCCACGAAGCUGAACAGAAAAAGAAGCCAAAAGAGCGUCGGCCCUUCCUUGCCUCUGAAUGUCGUGACCUUGCUGAGGCUGACAAGUGGCGCCAGCAGAUCAUGCGUGAGAUUGGCCGCAAAGUUGCUGAAAUUCAAAAUGAAGGGCUUGGAGAGCAUCGCCUCCGUGACCUCAAUGACGAGAUCAAUAAACUCAUCCGGGAAAAAUCCCAUUGGGAACGGCGCAUUGUUGAGCUCGGUGGGCCCAAUUAUGCCAAACAUGCCCCUAAAAUGACUGAUUUAGAAGGAAACAUAGUGGAUGUUCCUAAUCCUAGUGGGCGUGGGCCAGGAUACCGGUACUUUGGUGCUGCAAAGAAGUUGCCGGGAGUGAGAGAGCUGUUUGAGAAGCCUCCAGAAUUACGAAAAAGGAGGACUCGAUAUGAUAUAUAUAAGAGGAUUGAUGCGAGUUAUUAUGGGUAUAGGGAUGAAGAGGAUGGGGUGUUGGAGAGGGUGGAGGGGCCUGCGGAGGAGAAGAUGAGGGCAGAGGUGUUGGAGGAGUGGAAUAGAGUGGAGGAGGUGAGGAGGGAGGCAAAGAAGGCAGUUAAGAGUGGGGAGGUGGUGAGCAUGGUGAAGGAGGUGUUGUUUGAGGGGAUGGAGGAGGAAGUGGAGGAGGAGGAGAGGAAGGAAAGGGAGAAACUGGAGAAGGAGGAGAUGGAAAGGGAGGGGAGGAGGGAGUUUGUGGUUCAUGUGCCAUUGCCGGAUGACAAGGAAAUAGAGAGGAUGGUUUUGGAGAAAAAGAAGAGGGAGUUGUUGAGUAAGUAUGUGAGUGAGGGUUUGUUGGAGGAACAGACUGAGGCUAAGGCUAUGCUUAAUAUUCAGCGGUAGAUGUGUAUGACUUGGAAACUUUUUGCUUCUAGAAUUAGAGUGGAGGAAAACUGUUCAGUCUCUAGUUAGCCUUUAAAUUCUUCUGAACUCUGAAGAUCUUUCUAAAGACCUACCCCUACAUGAUGGCCUGGUGGCACCACAGCCUCAGCACAAGCUUGAUCCUGAUCGUGGUUUCACCUAUUUACUUAUAUUGCCACAAAUGCUAUCUUACAUAUCAAAAGAAAAAUUGCAUAGUUGAUGGUAAAUACUGCACUCCACAGAUUUGUUGGAGGGUUUAGCUUACAUGCACUACUUUUUUAACUGAACAUAUCAUUUUGUUUUAAAUAUAUAAUAGCAAGUGAUAAUGA